UCAAGAUUAAGUUCUCAAAUCAGUCUCACGACUUGCAUUAUCCCCUUUGGUGCCUUGUCGUGGUUUCUUCCUCUCUGACUAUGCAUGUCGUCAAUCCGGUGACAGUGGGCCAUAAGGGGUGUGAUUUUGAGGGAAUCGUGGUGUUUCUGCAAAGGGGUGAGCAAGUAUGAGAGAAUGAAAGUCGUAAUCUAUACGGAGAGUUAAGCCAUGGCCACAAUCCCUGCCAUUUCUCCAAAUGGGGUGUUUGGUACCAGAUUUUUAAUCCACUGAAGUCUUCUCUUGACCACUCAAACCAAUCUCCCUUUGGUGGUCGUCACCAACAUUCCCAAAGUUUGAGCAACAUGGAGAGGAGGUUAGUCGUAGUCACGACGACAAAUGAGAGGUUCUAGACCAUGUCAAGAACUAACCCCAGAGAAUACCGCAUUCACUGUCAUCGGACCAACAAGAAGACAAAGAGGUGGCAGCGACGAGGCAUAUGAAGGAGAGAGUGCAAGCAAUACUGCAACGAAACACGAGAUUAUUAGCUGCGAUUAUGGUACUGAUUUGAAAACUUAGUAAAUUACAUUUAAGUCCUUUUUAAAGAAAUAAAUAGAAUGAUGUGUAAAAUAAUUACAAACUGCA
rnacentral:sRNA from 1 species